GUUCCGUCCCCUCCUCGCCCCGGCCUGUAACUGCUGCGGGGGCCGCUUUCUGGGCCCGCCCCUCCAGGCCAGGAGCCUUUUUCAAAAUGUGGCGGUGGCAGGGAAGGUUGUCUGCUCCAGAGGCUUCCCUAGAGUGAAGAGCUCUACUAUGUAUGCUUUAUGCGGCAGAAGGAGUGCUUUGGAGGAGUUUUUAAAUUUGUUUUUUUUUUAAAUCUUAUCGGUUUUAAUUGUAGCAAUGAUUCAAGAAACGUUAGUAGGUGCCCAUAACUUCGGUGGUGGAGAUCCAAAAGUGAACAAGACAGUGUUCUGGCUGCUAAAUUCUUCUUAACUGGUUAUGCCUGGAGACCUUCACUUGGUUCUGUGCCAGCACUGCCCAUGAACUUCAUAGACUGUGAUCUUUGCUAAGGCCUAAAUGAAUGAAGUGCAGGUGCAGGACCGGAAGCAGAAGACAGAAAGUGGAGACCAGAUGUUUGAAGCUGGGUAAAGGCAGGGAUGGAGCAGGAACCGAGGAACAAACCUUGGAACUAGUCUUCACACCAGCAAGAUUCCUUGGCACCUCAAGGUUUGAAGAACAACUACACAACAAAAUUCACUCUAUUCUGGAUGAUGAUGGUCUCCCAACUCAGGUUUAAAGGGCAAUCACUUUCAAAUUAACUGGACAAUCACUCUCACUCUGCCCCAGAGAAUCACUUUUGAAACAUCAAAACACCUAUUUUGGCUCCCUUUUAUGGUACCUUGUCAUUUAAAUCAUACAAAAUGUUACAAAUACAGAACUGUCCAUGUAUGUUUUUAAUAG
rnacentral:lncRNA from 1 species